UUUUGAAAAAACUUGCGGUGGAGAACCAUCUCAAGGGAGCGUGUUGCCUGUUCUAAGAGGAGAUUAGACGCGCUGGUUCAAACCCCGUCUGUCUUGGUUGAACAAACACACGUGGUGUUGGGGGCCAAACCCCAUUUCCGGGAAUCGGAAUUCCGCGAAGUCCCCAGGGUAUCGUGCGCGCGCCCUUUGGCGUGUUUGUGUUCCAACCAUCGUGAACCCCCCCUGUGUGUUGUGAAUAAAGAACUGUCUUGCUGAGGAAAAUGUGAACCCUUCAAAUUGUUUGUUGCGCCCAGAUUCGAGUAAUCGGCCAUAUUCCAAAUUACAAACUUUUCAAACUACGGGAUCUCGAUUGGCUCUCGCAUCGAUGUGAAAGAACGCAGCGAAAUGCGAUUACGUAAUGGUGAAAUUGCAGAAUUCAAGUGAAUCACUCGAAGAUCUGUUGAACGCGACCUUGCGGCACCCAUUGGUAUUCCGAGGGGGCACACCCCGUUUGUGAAGCUGCUCGUGAAUAGAUCGUCUAUACCCUGUACUCGGUUUUCAUCUCCUGGGACACCCGAAGUGAGGCUUUGGCAACUUUUGGAGCGCGCUAUUGCUGGCGUCUCUGCUCUGUGUGUGACAAAGGCGCAGCUCCGUGCUCAAAUGAAAUUAGACGGGGUCCUCUUUGCCGACCCAUGCGACAUGGUGAUAAGAUGUUUCCAUUGUUCUUGGUUUAUGGUCUUCUGUUGCCUUUGGGGACCCCGUCUUACACAAUUCGUCUUCUCACUGGAGAGACAAUGUUCGACGCGCGUCUCCCCUUCCUCGGGAACACUCUCGAACCCACGAACCCUUGGACUCUCAAAUCGGGUGAGAUACCCGUCUGAACUUAAGCAUAUCAUAUAAGCGGAGGAAAAGAAACUAACCAAGGAUUCCCCUAGUAACUGCGAGUGAAGCCGGGAAAAGCCUCAAAUCUUAAAUUUCUGGCGUUUCUUCGCUGAUACCGUUGCCUUGUGUUUAUAUAGAAGAGAAGUCACGG
rnacentral:rRNA from 1 species